UCCUACGGGUGGCUGCAGUGGGGAAUAUUGGGCAAUGGGGGGAACCCUGACCCAGCGACGCCGCGUGAGGGAAGAAGGUUUUCGGAUCGUAAACCUCUGUUGUACGGGAAGAAGGAAGUGACGGUACCGUACGAGGAAGCCCCGGCAAACUACGUGCCAGCAGCCGCGGUAACACGUAGGGGGCGAGCGUUGUCCGGAAUUACUGGGCGUAAAGGGCGCGCAGGCUGUUAUGCGAGUCUGCUGUGAAAGGGAGCGGCUCAACCGGGGCGUGGCGGCGGAUACUGCAUAGCUGGAGUACUGGGGAGGGAGGUGGAAUUCCCGGUGUAGCGGUGAAAGGCGUAGAUUUCGGGAGGAACACCGGUGGCGAAGGCGGCUUUCUGGCCAGUUACUGACGCUCAUGCGCGAAAGCUGGGGUAGCGAACCGGAUUAGAUACCCCGGUAGUC
rnacentral:rRNA from 1 species